UCCUUAAAGCCCAUCCCCUCCCACCUCCCUCCAUCAACCCAUAGUCUGUUCCCUAUCGUGAAACAUCUCUUGUGGUUGGUUUCCCUCUCUCCUCUUCCCACCCUCUUCGCAUAUGUUCAUCUGUUGUGUUUCUUAAAUUCCACAUGUGAGUGAAAUCAUAUGGUAUUUCUUUCUCUCGUUGACUUACUUCGUUGGAAAUUCACUACCAGAAGACACACUCAAAUUCCACCCAUGGUCACCCUGCCAGUGAUUUAAGAGGGAAGAUGAACCGGGCAGUACUUUGGGCAUGGCACUCUCCCUGGGGGAGGCGGGAGGUGGCCUCCAACUUUGUAAAACCAUAGGCCACAACCGUGGCCAAGAAGAAACACCUAGACUUGUGUCUUUCAUACCUGCCUUCUUACUUGACUCCUCUUGCCUAGAGAGACCUGAUUUAGUCCAGAGGCAAGGAGAGAGGUCCUUCUAAUAAACCUUUUUCAUACCGUCAUCUAUCAAGGCCCCCAUCCCUGCAACCCAUGAAGAACCGACCUCCAUCAUAACACUGGUAAACACUCCACUUAGAUUUCUUGUUGCAGCUUCCUCCUCCUCUGAGACACUGACUCCUUGUAGCUUAAGAACAGGAUCUUGCCUUGUUCUUUUGUCCCUUGAAGAAUGCUAGGGGUAUAGAGCAGGUGCUUAGUGACCCAGCUUUGAAUGAAGUAGAGAACCUCACCGUGCUUGAUGCAUAAUCUUUCUUUUAACACACGUUGAGCACCAAUGGUGGGCUGGGCACGGUGCCGGAUGAGUAAGAUAAUGACACCAAGGGCCUCCCCACUAAUUUUGGACCUAACAUAUGUCUUGGCUCUCCUCCCCUUGAACUCCUGCCCAGGAGAGAACUGCUGAGCAAUGCGCAUGAUCGACCAUUGUCCUUUAUUCUGUCUCUGAGGACAUAAGGGGCCUGCACUUCUGAUUCUGUCCACGUGUGGGUUUGUCUGGGGCCAUCUGACUAACGGGGGAGCAAGGAGCAAUCACCGAUGGGGAAGAAAGGAGGAGACAGUCUGCAAUAACAGGACUACUUGCUCAAAAGCACACCUGCACUUCAUUUAAACGGACGGUAACAAAGGAAACAUCUAUGGUGGGUCCCAGGAGGAAGAAUGUUCACGGAACGUCACCCGUGUCCCCAGUUCCUGUUCACACUUGCAUUCCCACUGGUUGGUACAGUCUCUGGAGCUGGACAGAAGUUUGUGUUACAGGCUCGUAGCACGGGAGGUUUCUGACGGAGCAGACAACUGGAGGAAGGCCGGCCCUGCUGGACGCAGUGGACCGAGCGGGUCUGGACGCCCCCUCCACAGGUCACCGUGCACUGCACAAGAAGGAAAGAGGAAGGAGUCAGCAACACCUGGCUGGAGGGUGUCCUUUCUGAGGAGCUAGGUGAUCUGAUUGGAAUGCUGCCUAUCUCGCCCCAGAGAAUGUGUCUUCAGUUAAAUGACUCAUAAAGAAGAGAGCUUCCAGAAAUACGGAAGCUGCCGUAAGAAUGCAGAAACCUAGGCAACUCAUCACGAUAGGUGAAGUCUUCAUUCUGGACAAGCAUCAUUAUAUGAACUGGUAUUUGGAAGGAAAAAAACGUGGGAGUGGAAAGACUGAGUUUUGGAUUUUAGCACCAAAUUCAAAUAUAGCUAUAUGAUUAUCACAUCAUCUAAACCAGAAGUUGGUAAACUUUUUCCGUAGAGGUCAAGAUAGUCAAUAUGUUCACCUUUGUGGGCCAUGUGGUCUUUGGUGCAACUAUUCUGCCUUUGUAGCAUGAAAGCAGCCAUGGGCAAUAUGUAAACAAAA